GGAUUAGAUACCCUGGUAGUCCACGCCGUAAACGAUGUGCACUAGAUCGGUGCGGCUCUGACGUCGUGCUGGUCGCAGAGAAAUUAUUAAGUGCACCGCCUGGGGAGUACGGUCGCAAGGCUAAAACUCAAAGGAAUUGACGGGGGCUCACACAAGCGGUGGAGCAUGUUGCUUAAUUCGAAACAACGCGAAGAACCUUACCAGGGUUUGACAUGCACGGAUUAACUCUAUGAAAGUAGAGCCACGCCUUCGGGUGGAACGUGCACAGGUGCUGCAUGGCUGUCGUCAGCUCGUGCUG
rnacentral:rRNA from 1 species